CGUGCUUCUUUAAGAUGUCAUUUAACAGAGGAAAAUCUGUUCAAUCACUCGUCACAUUCAUCAAUUUUUCAUGAAAUUGAAGCACACUUCUUAGCAAAAAUAGACAGCAUUGACAAUAGACACAAUUAAACACCUUAACAAUUCAGCAAGAAAACAACCCAUAAGAUUAGUUAAAACACUAUCAAGCAGAUACAACAUAAAUGCCAAAACAAAGAGUUUACAACAUCAAAACAAAAUCACCCAAAUUAGCAACCCUCUAUAUAUUGAACUUCAUUUUGCAACAUACAGCAGCAAUAACAAUACAAAGCUAAACAUUCAAGAAGACACAGACCAAAAUCACAUAACAGUAAACAAAAAUGAAAUGGCAAGGAAGCGAACCUUCAAAAGGAGGGAUACCCAUUUCAACUCCCAUGUGA
rnacentral:misc_RNA from 1 species